GCGCACGGGUGAGUAACACGUGAAUUAUCUACCUCCGAGUGGGGAAUAACCUAGAGAAAUCUGGGCGUAAUACCGCAUAACACUUACGAGUCAAAGCAGCGAUGCGCUUGGAGAGGAGUUCCGCGGCAGAUUAGUUAGUUGGCGGGGUAAUGGCCCACCAAGACGAUGAUCUGUAUCCGGCCUGAGAGGGCGCACGGACACACUGGAACUGAAACACGGUCCAGACUCCUACGGGAGGCAGCAGUGGGGAAUUUUGCGCAAUGGGGGAAACCCUGACGCAGCAACGCCGCGUGGAGGAUGAAGUAUCUCGGUACGUAAACUCCUUUCGAUGGGGAAGAUGAUGACGGUACCCAUAGAAGAAGCCCCGGUAACUUCGUGCCAGCAAGCCGCGGUAAUACGAGGGGGGCAAGCGUUGUUCGGAUUUAUUGGGCGUAAAGGGUGCGUAGGCGGUUUGGCAAGUCUUGUGUGAAAUCUAUGGGCUCAAACCCAUAGCCUGCACGAGAAACUACCGGGCUUGAGUGAUGGAAGAGGUGAGUGGAAUUUCCCGGUGUAGCGGUGAAAU
rnacentral:rRNA from 1 species